rnacentral:other from 1 species
GCGUAGCUGCGCUUCUCGUUAGGAAUCAACAUCCCCGGGGCCUUAAUGAUCCUGAAGGGAGCUGUCCCCGCCCGAACCCGUGGGUUUGGGCACACGGCGCCCACCUACGUUGUAGGUUUCCCGGGAUCACACUCCGACGGUCGUUCGUGGGCGCC